UUGAAUUUGCCGCCGGGUAAAUGACAGCGUUGAAUUUUGUAUCGUUAGGCCUUUGAAGAUAGAAAGUUCUGGCGCUAUUUUUUU
rnacentral:ncRNA from 1 species